rnacentral:lncRNA from 1 species
AAACAUUUAUUACUAUGGUUACAGUUACAUAUAGAUGAAGUUUAUAUACAGUCACUUCUCUUGAAAAUAAUCUAAAUGUUUUAUUAUAAAAGAAACAGGUGUAAUGAUGUUUUUUUUUUUUUAAUUGAUACUUGUUUAUUCCAAAUAUUUCUGUUUACAAUUUCCUCAGUUGCCCAGGAUGCAAACUAUGGAUUCCCGUUACAUUUAAACCAACUGUCCGGAAGCAGGAGGCUGAAAAAGUGCACUGUAUUAGAAAAAAAUAGUAUACAUGUAAUAAUACUUAUAUUAUUUUAUAUUACAAUGAGUGAAAAAAGAAAUAUCUUUCUAGAAUGUAAUACUAGUAAUAAAUAAUAUAACAUUAUAACAUAAAGGAGUGCACCUAUAACCAGAUUCACAUAACAUUAUAACGUAAUCGAGUGCAUCUUUAAACCAUAGAUUUCCGUAAUCAAUAUAAAUUAAAGAGAUAUAAAAAAACAGACCACAUAACAUCGUGACUGUUAUCUCCUGCGAGGUAUGUACUUAUAGUAUAAAAUUAAUUAAUGUGUUUAUUUUCCCCUUAUCUAAUGUAUUAUUCGAUAAGUAACAGGGUACAGAUUUCAGAUGUGUUAUGUAUGAUUUCCAAAGAUUCAAAAUAUACGUAGAAGACAUUUUUAUCCCAUCAUAUUUGAUUUUGUUUCUUUUUUUCCACAAGGAAUAUUUUGUCAAAAUAAAAAAGAGAUUUACAUGUCAAGUUUGGUUCGAUUGACCACUGCUAUCUCCCAGAAGCAUAAAAUGUUUUAAAUUUUCAUCAUCUAAUUGAACAUUCCAUAAUGUAAAAAUAUCUUUGAUUUUACUAAUGAUCAAUUUUGUUGUAUUGCAAUCGAAAAAUAAAUGUUGCAGAUUUUCAGUAUUAUUGGCAGUUUGGCAAAUAUGACAUUUUCCGUUUGACAAUUUCAUUUUUUUAAGUCUACUUUCCGUAUAUAUGAUAUUGUGUAUGCAUUUCCAUUGAAAUUCUUUCAUUUUAUUGGUGACAUUAACUUUUUUCAAAUUGCCCCAUACUAUUUUCCCAUUAAUUUCGUGGCCAUAAAAUUCUUGCCAUUUUAGUUGACAUUUUGGAUAUAUAUUCUUAUUAAUCAUGUCUCGAAUAUAUUUGAGUUUUAAUUCUAUAGGUUUGAUUUUUUUUCCAUUUCUGUCUAAUAUAACCAUUUCAUUAGAAAGUUUCAAUUCUAUGUUUGUUUUUUCGUUAAUUUCAUUAUCAAUUUCUAAAAUUUGUAAGAAGUCAAUUGGUAUUGAACUUUUAACUCUUGAAAAUUCCGAUAUACAGUUCCUUUUAUCUACAAGUUUUUCAAAUAUAGAACAACAACUGUAAAAUUUGUUGGUCUCUUCGUUCCAUAUGUCUUUGAUAUAUUUCAUGUUACUUUUUUAGAAAGGACGAAAAAAACAAUGGCUUAUUUUGAAAUGAAAUUUUUGAAUUACCAAAUAGUCUCAUAUUAAGUACCUCGUUCUUAGUUUUGAGAUUAUCUUUUAGAAAAUUAGACCAUGUAUAAACCAUUUUCUGAUAAAAUAAAGGAAUAUUUUUAAGAUUUAGUCCUUUAAUAUUUGAACAUAUACAUAAAAAAUACUGAUCAUUAUACUUGUUGUCAAAUUGUCGAAGCCAAUACUUGCCAAUCGCAUUCCAGCUUUCUAAUGGUUCGUGAAGAAUGCGAUAAAGAUACUUUAUUUGCUUACUUCUAAUGAAUAAGUCGAUACUAAUCAUGCCCAUUCCGCCCUUAGUUAUAUCAAGACAACAAACCCGUCUUUCUAUUUGGUUAACUUUCCCAUCCAUAUAAAAUUCCAAAUAAUAUUGUUUAUUUCUUUUGAAUAUUUUUGGAAUUUUGGAUCCUCAAUGCUCUUCAACUUUUUACUUGUUUGGCUUUAUAGAUAUUUUGAUAUGAGCGUCACUGAUGAGUCUUAUGUAGACGAAUCGCGCGUCUGGCGUACUAAAUUUUAUAAUCCUGGUACCUUUGAUAACUUUUUACACCACUGGGUCGAUACCACUGCUGGUGGACGUUUCGUCCCCGAGGGUAUCACCAGCCCAGUAGUCAACACUCGUGUUGACAUGGAAUAUAAUAAUUGUGGUCAUUUUUAUAAACUUCCUGUUUACAAAACUUUGAAUUUUUCGAAAAACUAAGGAUUUUCUUGUAUCAGGCAUAGAUUACCUUAGCCGUAUUUGGCACAACUUUUUGGAAUUUUGGAUCCUCAAUGCUCUUCAACUUUUUACUUGUUUGGCUUUAUAAAUAUUUUGAUAUGAGCGUCACUGAUGAGUCUUAUGUAGACGAAACGCGCGUCUGGCGUACUAAAUUUUAUAAUCCUGGUACCUUUGAUAACUUUUUACACCACUGGGUCGAUACCACUGCUGGUGGACGUUUCGUCCCCGAGGGUAUCACCAGCCCAGUAGUCAACACUUCGGUGUUGACAUGAAUAUCAAUAAUGUGGUCAUUUUUAUAAACUUCCUGUUUACAAAACUUUGAAUUUUUCGAAAAACUAAGGAUUUUCUUGUAUCAGGCAUGAUUACCUAGCCGUAUUUGGCACAACUUUUUGGAAUUUUGGAUCUCAUGCUCUUCAACUUUUUACUUGUUUGGCUUUAUAAAUAUUUUGUAUGAGCGUCACUGAUGAGUCUUAUGUAGACGAAACGCGCGUCUGGCGUACUAAAUUUUAUAAUCCUGGUACCUUUGAUAACUUUUUUCAAGAAUACUCGCAUUUCAAUUUUAUAGCUACACAUGGGCAAUAUAAAAUUUUUACUAUUAAGGUUUUACCACUAAAUGAAAGUUUCUUGCUUUUUCCAAACGUGGACACAGUUUUUAAUCUUUUCUAUUAUACUUUGCCAUAUAGCAUCAUUAUCAAUUUCAAAUCCAUGAUUUACUCCGAGGGUUUUUACAUUACCUGUAAUCCAUUUGAUUUUAUUAAAUUUUAGUUUUUUCCUUUUAAGAGAUCCUAUAAGUAAACCUUUGGUUUUAUCAAAAUUAAUUUUAGAUCCCGAAGCUUUUUCAUAUAGCGUUAGGACAUUAAAAGAUUUUUCUACUGAUUUCUCAUUUUUGUUAAAAAGCUGAGUGUCAUCAGCAAACAUGCAUAAUUUAGUUUCUAUACUUUUACCCCCCUCACCAGGUAUUUGAAUCCCUUCAAUUUCCUUGUUACCUCGUAUUGCACAUGCCAUUGGUUCUGCUUGCAAAAUAUAUAUAAGGGGUGCUAUUGGACAGCCCUGUCUGGCCGAACGUGUUAUCGAAAAAUAUUUUGAAACAUGUCCAUUUGUUUUUAUACAAGUAAUAGCAUCAUAGAGUAACAUUUUGAUCCAUUGUCUAAAUUUCCCCUCAAAAUUAAACUUUUUUAAUACGAAAUCCACCCAUUCCCAUUCAACUUUAUCAAAGGCUUUUUGUUGAUCAAGAAAUAUUAUUAUUCCAUCUUCGUCUUCGUUGUCAAUAUAGUCUAUAUAUCUUGAAUUAAUUUGUUAGCAUCACUAAUGUUUCUUCCUUUAACAAAUCCUUUUUGAUCUGGAUGUAUUAUUUUCGGUAAGACUUUUUUCAGUCUCAUUGCAAGAAGUUUUGUUAUGAUUUUAUAAUCGGUGUUAAGUAAUGUAAGAGGUUUCCAAUUUUUAAUAUUUUCUCUUUUACCACCCUUAUGUAAUAACGUAAGAACCCCUUUAUGUUGUGAUUUACUUAAGGCAUUUUUAUCAAAUAUUUCUUGAAGGAGUGUGAAAAAAUCAUUUUUGAUUAUAUCCCAAUACAAAAUGUAAAAUUCAGGUGUAAUGAUUUAGUUUUGAAAGAAUUUUAAAAACAGAUACAAAGUUAUUAACAUUUUUGUAUCUUAAUAUUUUAAGUAUAUAGUCAUUUGCUUUGUUCACAGAAAUGUUCUUUUCUACUUCACCUGCCGACUGCAGCGAAUUACCUCCGGAAACUUGUAGUGGGGUAUAUACCAUCCGGCCUAAAAAUGGACCUACUAUGAUUGUAUUUUGUGAAAUGGACACUGAUCGCAGAGGGUGGACGGUAAGCUA